GUAGGUCACAGAUACAGCUCGGAUCUGGCAUUGCUGUGGCUGUGGUGUAGGCCGGCAGCUGCAGCUCUGAUUCGACCCCUAGCCUGGAAUCUUACAUAUACCACAGGUAUGGCCCUAAAAAGAAAAAAAAAUUAUAUAUAUAUAUGAAACAAACCACUACCACUGCUUUGCUUUAACAGGUGUUUAUUUAGCACCCGCUCUGCAUGAGGCACUGUGUUGGUGCCGUGAAGAACAUGCAGGUGGACGAGGCGUGGCUCCUGUCCUCUGCAGGCUCACUGUCCAGCAUGGGAACUUGGUCAUGGACACAAGUGACCGUCACACCAAGGCAGAAAACAAAUAAUGCUACAAGAUCGGCCUCCACCAGGUAUUAAGAGAAUCCAGAGGAAGAAAAUAUUACUCUGAGAUGAGAAUAAGAGAUUACAGAAGGUGCCCUAGAGAACGUGACAGGUCAGAUGUGGAUGGGAGAAAACGAAAGGAAAAAGCAAUCCAGGAUGACCGCACGCAGAGGCAGAGGCAGAGGCCCGCCUACCACUGCUGAUGGAGGUGGUCGGGCCAGGACUCGUCGUGUGGGUCCAGGGCUGGGGAAAGACACCAGCGGGUAUGAUAUGCUCGGCUCCGUGGAGGAUGCAUCCAUCUGUAGCAAAGCUGUAAAAGGAGGGCUUUGAUCGGAACUGUUUUAUGAAGCGUAAUCUGAGGGUGACAGAGUGACUUUGGGGAAAGAGGCCGGCUUAAAAAUGAUUACAAGAGUCUGCACAAGCAUAACAGGCAGUGACCAGGAGAAUGAGAUGUUCCAGGUGGGAGGUGGAGACAGAAUUGAGAAGAUUCAGUGACAACUGACCGUGGGAAAGGGUGUGAGAUGUGGGAAAGACGACGGCACUUUUGUACCAAGACGACCAUCCACAGAGCCAGGAAAUUCCCAGGUACAAGGAUGCCUCCCAUGGAAGACCUGUUUCUCGCUGUGUUCUCCAACAAGUCCUCAUUCUGGGGAUUCCGAGCAGGAAAUCUGCCUCCACUGCGAAGGGUCAUUCUGAAAAGAUUUACUCCGAUGAGAGGUUUUUUUUUUUUUUUUUUUUUAACUUUUCCUGGUCAUUGAUUUGGAAGAGUUUUCUGUAAUAAAAAUAUUUUUCUAAGGAUUUCA
rnacentral:lncRNA from 1 species